rnacentral:rRNA from 1 species
CAGCAGCCACGGUAAUACGAAGGGGGCUAGCGUUGCUCGGAAUGACUGGGCGUAAAGGGCGCGUAGGCGGUUUGGACAGUCAGAUGUGAAAUUCCUGGGCUUAACCUGGGGGCUGCAUUUGAUACGUUCAGGCUUGAGUGUGGAAGAGGGUCGUGGAAUUCCCAGUGUAGAGGUGAAAUUCGUAGAUAUUCGGAAGAACACCAGUGGCGAAGGCGACUGACUGGACAAGUAUUGACGCUGAGGUGCGAAAGCGUGGGGAGCAAACAGGAUUAGAGACCCCCGUAGUCCCUGUCUCUUAUAC